rnacentral:rRNA from 1 species
AGCAGCCGCGGUAAUUCCAGCUCCAAUAGCGUAUAUUAAAGUUGUUGCAGUUAAAAAGCUCGUAGUUGAAUUUCGGGGUCAGCAGGUUGGUCGUGCCUCUGGUAUGCACUGGUUUCGCUGAUUCCUCCUUUCUGAAGAACUGUAAUGUCAUUAAUUUGGUGUUGCAGGGAAACAGGACUGUUACUUUGGAAAAAUUAGAGUGUUUAAAGCAAGCUAACGCUUGAAUACAUUAGCAUGGAAUAAUGAAAUAGGACGUUUGAUCCUAUUUUGUUGGUUUCUAGGAUUGACGUAAUGAUUAAUAGGGAUAGUUGGGGGCAUUAGUAUUCAAUUGUCAGAGGUGAAAUUCUUGGAUUUAUUGAAGACUAACUACUGCGAAAGCAUUUGCCAAGGAUGUUUUCAUUAAUCAAGAACGAAAGUUAGGGGAUCGAAGACGAUCAGAUACCGUCGUAGUCUUAACCAUAAACUAUGCCGACUAGGGAUCGGAUGAUGUUAAUUUUUUAAUGACUCA